GCAGGCAGGGCUGUGGCUGCAGAUGCCACGAGGGAACGGUUAUUGGGUGCCAGGCCAGGCGUGGGCAGGGGCACCCUGGAGGGCUGAGAUAAAGUGCACACCUAGCACAAAGAAAAGGGAACUGAGGGUUUCAACUGGUGCAGCCUUUCUGGAGGGCCAUCUAACAAAAUCAAAUAAUUAAAUAGAAAUAAAAAGGAGAGCCGCUUUUGAGAUUCUCUCCAACAGAAAUAAUACAGAACUCCGUGAGGAUAAGAUGCAUGGACAGUUGUGACAGCCUGGUAGUGUUUUAAAAAAAAUGGGAAGCAACCUGAGUGACUGCGAACUGGGGAGUCCUUCAGCUCGUGGCACAUCCACAGAAUGGGGUGCAGUGCAGCCUCGCAGGGUGUGGCCAGGCGUGCGUACUGAUCUGAUGUGGAACCAGCAUCCCCAAAGAACACUCAAAUCCGAGGCUCAAGGAACCUCUGGGACUCAGUGUCUAGAUCCAGGAAAUGGAGAAUGAGCCAUGACUUUGGACGCUUCACCCUUGCCCAUCAGGCUCAGAAUUGGUGAGCAUCUCCAAUUCCGAGCAAGGUGCCCCGUUGGGGUUUCCUCUGCAUGGACCAGCCAUCCUCCAAACCUGCCCCCAUGUCACCCCAGCUCCCUAUCCCACUAACUUCUCAUUCCUUGUCCCCUGUCUCCCUGAGUGACAGGGCUCCUGCCAGUUAGGCCCUGUCCUCCUUUCUGAUGUUGGGUCCAUUCCCCAUGAUCCCUUUCUUGCUCGUGCCUUGGGAUCUCGGGCCAGCUCAUGUAGGAGGCAGAACUCAACUCCAGACCAGACUGAAGACUGGCCGACACGGAAGAGCACUGAAAGCACCUCUCGCUCCAUCAGACAUGCCCACCAGCACCAUGACAGUUUACCACUGCCAGGGCAAUGCCCAGAAGUUAUCGCCCCUUUUCUAGAAAUUUCUGCAUAAUCUACCCGCUCCUUGCAUGUGAUUAAAACAGGUGUCAAGA